GACGAACGCUGGCGGCGUGCUUAACACAUGCAAGUCGAACGGAAAGGCCCCCAUCUUGGUGGGGGUGCUCGAGUGGCGAACGGGUGAGUAACACGUGGGUGAUCUGCCCUGUACUUCGGGAUAAGCUUGGGAAACUGGGUCUAAUACCGGAUAGGACCAUGGUUUAGUGUCUCAUGGUGGAAAGAUUAUUGUUUUGGUGCAGGAUGAGCUCGCGGCCUAUCAGCUUGUUGGUGGGGUAAUGGCCUACCAAGGCGUCGACGGGUAGCCGGCCUGAGAGGGUGGACGGCCACAUUGGGACUGAGAUACGGCCCAGACUCCUACGGGAGGCAGCAGUGGGGAAUAUUGCACAAUGGGCGCAAGCCUGAUGCAGCGACGCCGCGUGGGGGAUGACGGCCUUCGGGUUGUAAACUCCUUUCGUGAGGGACGAAGCCGCACUUUUUCUGGGUGUGGUGACGGUACCUUUGUUAAGAAGCACCGGCUAACUACGU
rnacentral:rRNA from 1 species